rnacentral:rRNA from 1 species
AUUGAACGCUGGCGGCAUGCUUUACACAUGCAAGUCGAACGGUAACAGGCCUUCGGGUGCUGACGAGUGGCGAACGGGUGAGUAAUGCAUCGGAACGUGCCCAGAGGUGGGGGGUAACGCAGCGAAAGCUGUGCUAAUACCGCAUGUGAUCUGAUGAUGAAAGCGGGGGACCAGGCAGCAAUGUUUGGCCUCGCGCCUUUGGAACGGCCGAUGUCGGAUUAGGUAGUUGGUGGGGUAAAGGCCUACCAAGCCGACGAUCUGUAGCUGGUCUGAGAGGACGAUCAGCCACACUGGGACUGAGACACGGCCCAGACUCCUACGGGAGGCAGCAGUGGGGAAUUUUGGACAAUGGGCGCAAGCCUGAUCCAGCAAUGCCGCGUGAGGGAAGAAGGCCUUCGGGUUGUAAAACGCUUUUGUACGGAAAGAAAAGGCUCUGGCUAAUACCUGGGGAUGAUGACGGUACCGUAAGAAUAAGCACCGGCUAACUACGUG